UUCCACAUAAACCUUGAGACGGAUGUGAGAGAAAAUAUGAACAAAUUCUCCAAUGUGUUCCCUCAGAACCAUGCUACAUGUCUUUUGCGGGUCAAGUCUGAAGACUUUUUUCAGGAAGUGAUCAAUUUCUUUUUUCCUUGUGGUUAAAUCAGCUUCUUGGCUCAUAUUGACAGUGGNNNNNNNNNNNNNGACCAGCAAGCAGACCAUUGUCUGGCCUCUUUACAAGAAGAAAUCCACUAUCAGAUUGGUCACCCUCAAUUGGACCUUUGGUUCCUAAUAUCUCCACAACACAAACAGCAGAAAUUUCACGUCUUUGUUUCACCUUUACAACCUUCGUUGGAUAAUCUGUAACCAAUA
rnacentral:misc_RNA from 1 species